ensembl:lncRNA
CCAUGUGUACUGUUUUUGGAAGAGCUAGUUCAGACUACUGGCACUUAACAGCACAUUAAAAUAACCAAGAGCUACACCAUUAAACUUAAGUGAUAUACUAUUCACCGAUUUUUUUCUGUUCUGUCCAGUUAUUUCUUGCAUGGAGAGAUGUGGUGUUACCAAAAACCGGGCUUUGAGGCCCUGCUUCUCGCAGAGCUGCAGAAACAGCAGCAGUCCAGCCAGUUCUGUGACAUUGUACUCAAAGCAGAUGGAGUGUCAGUGCCAGCUCACAGUUGUGUGCUCUCAGCUAUCAGCUCUCAGUUCUCCACCUCUCUCUCUCAGACGCCUACCCCGACCCAAAAGAGGCUCCUGGAGUUCAGGUCUCUGGGGGCGUGCACACUCCUGCACUUGGUCCGGUUGCUGUACUCUGGGGAGAUGGUUGGGGAGGGUGAGAGGGAGAAGCGUGAGGCUGUUUCUGCUGCUGCUAGACUUGGUAUUCAUGGGCUUGUGGAGGUCUCUCACAUUGAUGGUGAACACAGAAGAGUGCAGGACGAGUGUCUGUACACAGAGGUGGCGGUGCAGACUGACUCUCAGUUAUUUGGGGAAAAUCAGGUGAGGCUUGGAGGGUGGAGGAGAGAGGUGAAAGAUGGUACAACAGUGCUCUGGAGAGAGAGACUGCCCACUUGUGGCACUGAAAUAUGGACACAGACUGAGGACCUGCAAACCAGUAGUCCAUCUUGUUCACAGCCACCUAUCACAUAUGAAACCAUUGACUUAAAUGCACUUCAGAGUCUGGGUCACACAGAACCUCUUCAAAUCCCUUAUGUCCCCAUGUCUGUGGUCUGUCCAAUUGAAGACAGUCACAGCUAUGGACAGUCUUCUGUGUCAGUUGCCACACUGUCCCCUGCUGU